UACACAUGCAAGUCGAACGGUAACAGCAGAGCUUGCUCUGGCUGACGAGUGGCGCACGGGUGCGUAACGCGUAUACAAUCUGCCUAUUACUGGGGUAUAGCCCGAAGAAAUUUGGAUUAACCCCCCAUAGUAUUGAGAUAAGGCAUCUUAUUUCAAUUAAAACCACGGUGGUAAUAGAUGAGUAUGCGUCCUAUUAGUUUGUUGGUAAGGUAACGGCUUACCAAGACUUCGAUAGGUAGGGGUCCUGAGAGGGAGAUCCCCCACACUGGUACUGAGACACGGACCAGACUCCUACGGGAGGCAGCAGUGAGGAAUACUGGACAAUGGAGGCAACUCUGAUCCAGCCAUGCCGCGUGCAGGAAGACUGCCCUAUGGGUUGUAAACUGCUUUUAUAGAGGAAGAAACCUCCCUUCGUGAAGGGAAUUGACGGUACUCUACGAAUAAGGAUCGGCUAACUCCGUGCCAGCAGCCGCGGUAAUACGGAGGAUCCAAGCGUUAUCCGGAAUCAUUGGGUUUAAAGGGUCCGUAGGCGGACUAAUAAGUCAGUGGUGAAAGUCUGCAGCUCAACUGUAGAAUUGCCAUUGAUACUGUUAGUCUUGAGUCAUUAUGAAGUGGUUAGAAUGAGUGGUGUAGCGGUGAAAUGCAUAGAUAUCACUCAGAAUACCGAUUGCGAAGGCAGAUCACUAAUAAUGUACUGACGCUGAUGGACGAAAGCGUAGGUAGCGAACAGGAUUAGAUACCCUGGUAGUCUACGCCGUAAACGAUGGUUACUAGCUGUUUGGUCGAUUGAGACUGAGUGGCUA
rnacentral:rRNA from 1 species